ACUGCCAAAACAACUUGCACUGUUUAAGCAUGAAAACAAACACAAAAAUGCCAGAUCGAUGUGUAGUUUUUGGUUGUUCUAACGUAGCCAGUUCGGAGAAAGGCAUUUCACUUCAUCGCAUACCAUUUUUUAACGACGAAAGAAGCGAAGCUAAGCGUAGGAGAAAGCGAUAAGUGGGUCCCCACAAAGAAUUCCGCAGUUUGCUCGUAACACUUCACGAAAGAUUCGUUUUCUCGGCAAUUCGGCUCGUUUUCUGAAUCAGAAAGUAAUUUUGCACCUCGACUCAUUCGACACGAAUUCGGAAUCGUUGCUUACCCAGGCAUUUAUCCUCGAAAAGAUGACAAUGAACUUAAAACAAAAGAUCGCAGAAUGGUGAGUACGUUAAAAAUUAUACAUAUGCAUAUCUACAUUUUACCUGGAAUCUGUGUGAGAGUAUAUUUCAUAAAUAUAUGCCAUUUUAGAUGAAAAGAAAGUGGAUGUCUGAUUAUAAAAGAGGUUGAAUCAGAAAAUAUUCCCAGUACAAGUAGCGAACCUCAAGAGCAAAUAGAAGAAACAACUUGUGAUGAGCCUGUAUUAUCAGAAAUGAUCAGCUACUCUUUUCCUGGAAUGUUCUGCAGGCAUAUCCUUGUUGUAACUCACUUCGAAAGCAAUUUGGAUGGGGAUAAUCAAGAGGUUAAUGGAGUUCCCCAGGUUAAAGUGCAUUAUCCAAAAUUUAUAAAUGGUGAAGCUGUUGUAAGAAUGUAAAAGUUGCUCAGGAUUUUGGGUAUGUUGAAGAUAUAUAUCAAGUGUUGUGCUCUGCAUUCAUUGAUGAGGAAACAUUGAGAAAAGCCAAAGCUGAUCUUUUACGAAUGACUCCAUUGCCAAUGAAUUCCAUGUUGGACAAGCAAUCAAAAAGUGAAGCUAUCUCAACAAAAGCAAGAAGACAAAGCAUGCCAGCUGUACAUUUCCCCCCAACUAAGCCAGGUUUAGCAAAAAGGCAUUACUUGCUUUGAGUGAAUUUGAAUCUUAUUUUUGGAACUGACUCACUUUAUUGUUUGAUAUAACUGAAGUAUCACCUGUCCAUUCCUAUUUUCAUUCCGGAUCGAAAUUUAGUUUUAAUCUCAUGUAAACGCAAAUUGAGUUUCAUUUUGGAAUGAUAUUGUGAUUAAUGACGAAGCACGCAUGUGCCAUGGGUAUUGUCUUCUGGCAAAUUGAAGCUCGUAAGCAAAUAAAGCAGCUAAAUGGGCUAAAAUGAGUGCGAAGAAAAACAACAAUUAGUUUCAUGCAAGUGUUAAGCUGUAUUAACGCAGGAGCAACAGAAAAAAAAGGGUUGCUAUAAUGUUUAUGUUCUCCAUCUUCAAAUUUCAAAAUUCCUGCAAAAUGUCAAUCCUUGUUUUGAUUUCCCAUGUACACACGGAUUGACGUCACGUUUCGAUCGGGAUUGAAAGUCAUUCCGGACUCAUGUAAAAACCCCCUAACAAAGGUCAUCCUUGGGUAAAGAUGCAAACGUUUGGUAAAGUGUAGAGCUUUAUCUUACAUACAGAACAUGAAUUAAAAAUGAAAUUUCA